CUGGUUGUCAUGACAACAAGGACGCCUUGCCCAGGUGACUGAAAGGCCAAUACAACAAGCAUUGGCAAGCCACACCUGCGGCAAGGACGGCAGUCACUAUGGAGGCGACCACGGAAGACAAGGAGGAGGCCCCUGCCGCCUCAGCCACCAUUACAAAUACUGCUGACGGUGAAGAAACGGUGACCGUGGAGGAAUUGGAGGAGCAACUGAAGCAGUCCCACGCAGAGACAGCCGCCGUCAGAGAGCAAGUCACGGCCCUCACGCAGCAGCUAGCCACCUCAGUCCCCAGAGCCGAGGCCCUUAUAGCGCGGCGGGACCUCGAACGACGCAUCGAGACCCUCACCAGGGAUAACCAAACGCUGACUGAGGCGGUGGAGAAGGAACAGAAGGAACGAGAAUGGCUGGAAGGGGAACUGCGGGCCCAGUACGAGGCUGCAGAGGGAACAGACCAAGAGAUGACCAAUCUCCAGACCUUCGUGAGGAAGCUGCACGCCCUAGUGGAGGACAAGACCAAGACUCUCGACACACAGAAGGAGGAGAGGGACAGCAUGGCAAGGCUCUUGGAAGAAGCCAAAGAGGAGGCAACGCGGCUGAAAAAGGAGGUAGAGACGCGUUCCCGUGUUCUCACAAGAGUGGAGGCCGCCUACAAGGAGACCACUGGAGUAAUCAAGCUUAAAGAGGAGGAUUUGGUGAGGCUACAGAAGGAAUCAUCAACGGCACGACGCCAGUUUGACCAGUUGGAGAAAACGGUGAGACGACAGGAACAGAGACGGGCUGACGUUGAGGGUCAAGUCAAAAAUCUUCGUGGGCAGGUUAAGGUAUUAGAGAAACAGGUUGUAACGGAGACCAGAAUGAGCCAGAGGUCAACUCGGCAGGCUGAAAAAGUGAAGCGGGAGAGAGACGUCCUGCACCGGGCUUAUGUCAAGGCUCAGGCCACCAUACAGAAGCACUCAGGCCUUGUCCACAUCCGUGAGCUGGAGAGACAAAAUGCAGAGAGAGAAUUGGUGCGUAGGUCACGUGAUCUAAACAAGCAGGACCGUCUCAUUGACACAAUCCAGCGUGCCAAGGACAGACAAGUGGAAGAGACAUCAAGACUGGAGACAAGGGUGGUGGAGCUGGUGGAGGAGGUGGAGGCGCGGGGAAGGGAGACGGAGAGGUUGAUGCACACACAGGCUGCUACAGAAACAAGCCUUCAGCAGGCCACCUCACUUUCAGAUGCCCUCAAGACUGAUAACUUCAUUCUGAGCCGACACCUUCGUAAUGUUCGGACUGAGAAGGAUGAGCUGCUGGAGGAGUCAAGGAAAGCUGGCUACCUGGUAACAAAGCUGCAACAAAACUUGAACACUAGAGACACUGAGAUUCAGAAACUCACUGCAGAGGUGUCCAUGCUGGAGCGCCUUACAGACCAACUCAAGGCAGCAGAGCAUGCAGCAAGGAGUGUGGCAGAUGAGAGGCAGCGAGCAGUGCAAUAUGCUGAGGCAGAGAAGGUGGGACUGACACGCCUCCUGCACCAAGAGGAGAACACCAACAAGGAAUUGCACAAGGAGAUUGAGGAGGGACAGGCUGGGAGUGCAGUGGUGACAACACAACUGGCACGUCGCAAUGAUGAGGUACGGGCGCUACGGGAGAGAGUCAAGCUGCUGGAACAUGUCCUUCACAAGGGUGACAAAGACUACAACAGCCGCAUCCAGGACAUCAAAACUCUAACUAAUGAGGUCAACUCUCUUCGAGAUGAGAGACAGGUGUUGGGACGGCAUGUCAAAUUGGUGGAGGCCCUCAAGGUGGAAUUGGUACGCCUUCAGAGGGAACUCAUCUCAUCACAAAACAAGAGGGCAGUGCUGGAGGAGGAAAUAAUCCGUAGGGAAAAGUCUCACCGAUGGACUACUCUCAAGGCAUCUGAUCCAAGCAAGUAUGAUCUACUGAAGAAGAACCAUUUGCUGCAGAAGAGGCUUGUGGCUGCCACUCAGAGAUUGCCCACAAGGAGCGAGAGUUGGAGGAGAUGCGACGUGUGGUUGAGCGCUCAGCAAGUCAUCAUUCUGAUGCUGCUGCAAAACCUCACCUCAUCAGUCAGCUGCGAGCCAAGGAUGACCAAAUCAAGAGUGUGACAGCAGCUCUUAACGUGGCUCUGCUGGCUCAGGAGGAGGCAGAGCAGGAGAGGCGCCACCUCAGGAACCAACUGGCUGUCACUAUGCGCAAAAUGAAUAACCUCCAGCGGAGGCUACAGGCCAAGCAACCAGGCAC
rnacentral:misc_RNA from 1 species